AUGGCAGUGUUUUGUUGUUUAUUCGUUCAGUUGCUUCCGACUCUUUAUGACCUCAUGGACCAGCCCACCCCAGAGUUCCCUGUCGGCCAUGGCCACCCCCAGCUCCUUCAAGGUCAAGCCAGUCAUUUCAAGGAUACCAUCCAUCCAUCUUGCCCUUGGUCAGCCCCUCUUUCUUUUUCCUUUCUUUUUCCCCAUCAUCGUGAUCUUCUCCAAGCUUUCCUGUCUUCAAAAGAAGCAUAUAACCUGAAAUUCUGUGACCUUUUCUAUCCUAUUUUAUUUCCAUGCGCAAUCACUCACAAACUGCUUAUCUAAAGGAAUUUAAUAACAGCAGAGGACUUGGAAAAUUGACUUACUGAAAUUUAGUGCCUGUGGGCCAAGAGGGUUAUGGGCACUGCAGUCUGAAAAUCCUAUGUUAGACGUUAUAUAACAUGCUAGGGAGGAACGGGUGCUUACCAAAGGUAAAGAUAAGGAGCAAAGUCUUUGAAAAGCAUGGGAGAUUUUAUCCUAGAGAUUAGAUGCAUUUUAUUAGCUUUUCCAGUCCUAGUAAGUCUUGCACUAACCCACUAGUGGCUCAUGGUUCCAAAUCUGCCCCAGGUUUUGGACCAGACUUUUACAAAGUUAUCCACAGCACUGACUCUGUCCCCAAAACAGGUUCAGCACAUUUAGAGGUUAAAAUAAAACUCCAUUCUAAAUGGAAGCGGGUAGCUGCAAUUGGGACUGCACUAACCAUGGACGACACAAACAAGAGAAUGUGGAAGUGGAGACAUGACUUAAGUGCAACUAACUCAUAAAGCAUGUAGGAAGAGACUGUUAUAAGGAGAAAAGCUUCAAUUGAGGCUUUGAAUAGUGGGAGAAAGAGUUCAGAAGCAAUGAUAAGGAGACUGCCACAGCUGCUCCUAUCCCAGGGUCUGUUCAUUCAGGUGGUGGCUGCCUGGUAGUAGUUAGCAAAGAAAGGGCCUGAUGCUGUCAAAGAAGUAGUUUAUGUACAGCAGUUGCCAAAAAAGUUCUCUCAUGAGUCUGCCAAUGUGGUGUUCUUACUAGUGGGGCUUCAGAAGAUGGCCUCCGAGUAACUGCAGGAAAGCAAUUCUGUGAAAAUAUAUGUAGAAGAGAGCACCAUUCCUUUGGCACAGCUUUUAAUAUUUGGGUCUGGAGAAGAGCACGGCAAAGCAAGCAGCGUUACAUCUGCUAUCCAAGUUGAUGCCAGAUCCUUCACUCAAUGUGGAAGAUGGAGAAACUGUAAAAUUACACAGCAGAUUCUUUUGUGCAGCUUCCUUUGUGAGCUUGAACAGACUGCCUUGACA
rnacentral:lncRNA from 1 species